rnacentral:rRNA from 1 species
AUACGGAGGGGGCUAGCGUUGUUCGGAAUUACUGGGCGUAAAGCGCGUGUAGGCGGAUCGUUAAGUCAGGGGUGAAAGCCCGGGGCUCAACCCCGGAACUGCCCUUGAUACUGGCGAUCUAGAGUCCGGAAGAGGUGGGCGGAAUUCCCGGUGUAGAGGUGAAAUUCGUAGAUAUCGGGAGGAACACCAGUGGCGAAGGCGGCUCACUGGUCCGGUACUGACGCUGAGACGCGAAAGCGUGGGGAACAAACAGGAUUAGAAACCCUAGUAGUCC